AGAGUUCGAUCCUGGCUCAGGAUGAACGCUAGCUACAGGCUUAACACAUGCAAGUCGAGGGGCAGCAUGGUCUUAGCUUGCUAAGGCCGAUGGCGACCGGCGCACGGGUGAGUAACACGUAUCCAACCUGCCGUCUACUCUUGGACAGCCUUCUGAAAGGAAGAUUAAUACAAGAUGGCAUCAUGAGUCCACAUGUUCACAUGAUUAAAGGUAUUCCGGUAGACGAUGGGGAUGCGUUCCAUUAGAUAGUAGGCGGGGUAACGGCCCACCUAGUCUUCGAUGGAUAGGGGUUCUGAGAGGAAGGUCCCCCACAUUGGAACUGAGACACGGUCCAAACUCCUACGGGAGGCAGCAGUGAGGAAUAUUGGUCAAUGGGCGAGAGCCUGAACCAGCCAAGUAGCGUGAAGGAUGACUGCCCUAUGGGUUGUAAACUUCUUUUAUAAAGGAAUAAAGUCGGGUAUGCAUACCCGUUUGCAUGUACUUUAUGAAUAAGGAUCGGCUAACUCCGUGCCAGCAGCCGCGGUAAUACGGAGGAUCCGAGCGUUAUCCGGAUUUAUUGGGUUUAAAGGGAGCGUAGAUGGAUGUUUAAGUCAGUUGUGAAAGUUUGCGGCUCAACCGUAAAAUUGCAGUUGAUACUGGAUAUCUUGAGUGCAGUUGAGGCAGGCGGAAUUCGUGGUGUAGCGGUGAAAUGCUUAGAUAUCACGAAGAACUCCGAUUGCGAAGGCAGCCUGCUAAGCUGCAACUGACAUUGAGGCUCGAAAGUGUGGGUAUCAAACAGGAUUAGAUACCCUGGUAGUCCACACGGUAAACGAUGAAUACUCGCUGUUUGCGAUAUACUGCAAGCGGCCAAGCGAAAGCGUUAAGUAUUCCACCUGGGGAGUACGCCGGCAACGGUGAAACUCAAAGGAAUUGACGGGGGCCCGCACAAGCGGAGGAACAUGUGGUUUAAUUCGAUGAUACGCGAGGAACCUUACCCGGGCUUAAAUUGCAGAUGAAUUACGGUGAAAGCCGUAAGCCGCAAGGCAUCUGUGAAGGUGCUGCAUGGUUGUCGUCAGCUCGUGCCGUGAGGUGUCGGCUUAAGUGCCAUAACGAGCGCAACCCUUGUUGUCAGUUACUAACAGGUUCUGCUGAGGACUCUGACAAGACUGCCAUCGUAAGAUGUGAGGAAGGUGGGGAUGACGUCAAAUCAGCACGGCCCUUACGUCCGGGGCUACACACGUGUUACAAUGGGGGGUACAGAGGGCCGCUACCACGCGAGUGGAUGCCAAUCCCAAAAACCUCUCUCAGUUCGGACUGGAGUCUGCAACCCGACUCCACGAAGCUGGAUUCGCUAGUAAUCGCGCAUCAGCCACGGCGCGGUGAAUACGUUCCCGGGCCUUGUACACACCGCCCGUCAAGCCAUGGGAGCCGGGGGUACCUGAAGUGCGUAACCGCGAGGAGCGCCCUAGGGUAAAACUGGUGACUGGGGCUAAGUCGUAACAAGGUA
rnacentral:rRNA from 1 species